GCAGAAACUGCUUUAGCUCCUUUGGCCUCAAGUUGUGCCAAGGGAAGUUUAGGUUGCACACUAGGAAGAAUUUCUCCACUAAAAGGGUUAUCGGGCAUUGGGAGAGGCUGCCCAGGGAGGUGGGGGAGUCCCCAUCUCUGGAGGGAUUUGGGAGUCACGUAGUACUGAGGGACGUGGUUUAGUCAAAGACUUAUCAGUGUCUGUCCAGUGAUUGGACUCGAUGAUCUCAAAGGUCUUUCCCAAUCUCGGCAGGUCUUUGUUUCUGUGGUUUCUUUGGUUCCUUUAGCUUAGAAAGGCUCUAUAAAACAUCAGUGCAACCCCUCACAUCAUCCAAGCUACAAUAGGAAAUCUCUCAUUUCUACCAAAGGAAGCAGGAACUUUUAGCACAGCAAAUUCUGAAUACUUAUGAAACCAUUGUGCACUAUUUUUAAUGAACACUCCUUACUUUUCAUUUUGAGUCAUGCCCCUGUAUUCUGUUAGCCUUUUUUCCACCCCCUCAUUUGUACUAAAAGAUGUCGCCGUCGUUGUGGAAUUCAGUGUCUGGCAGCUCUGUAAGACAGGUUGACUUUGUUUUCUGCUUUGGGCAAAACAAAGCUGUGUUACCUGGGCAUGCAGAUGGCAGCAUGAGUGUUUCUUCACUAAAACUCUGUUCACCAAAACCCCAAUUUAAAUGUCAGACUCAUCAGGUCAGGAGUCUGUGUGCUUCCAGAGUGUGCUAGAAGGAGGUGGCCUUCAGUUUGCACUUCCUUGUCUUGGUGGACACAAGAAUUUCUGUGAGAUUGGGCAGGACCCAUCCACCUCCUCACACCCUGCUUGUGCUGCAAUCAUUUCUCACCUAAUUUAGUGUCAAACUCUCAUCCAAAAUGAAGUUUGAAGGUUAAAAGGCAGGAGUUGAAUGCAAAGAGACCAAAAGAAGCAAAACACCCAGAAAUAGCUUCAUGUUAGAGUGCUGAGAGGGAUUAUGAGGGGUUUUCUGUGUAAAACUAGUAUGAUCUCAGAGGAUGUUUUGAAAUCCCCAGCAAAUCACUUCUCACAGAGACUGGAUUAAGAUCUGUGGAGUAACUGCAGUCCACAGCCUGUAAUACAGCACACAAACAAGUAACAGGUGGAAACAGAAAGAAAAGAUCCAGAAGGUUGCAUCACUUCCCAGGCUUUUCCAAACUUGUUUCAUUAGAACACUACAACAGCUGUGUGCUAAGGAGCAUUCUUUUAUGUAUUUACUUGGAGAAAUUACAAUAAACUAAGGUGACCAGGGAUUGUCUGAAUAA